GAUGAACGCUGGCGGCGUGCCUAAUACAUGCAAGUCGAGCGAACAGACGAGGAGCUUGCUCCUCUGACGUUAGCGGCGGACGGGUGAGUAACACGUGGAUAACCUACCUAUAAGACUGGGAUAACUUCGGGAAACCGGAGCUAAUACCGGAUAAUAUAUUGAAUCGCAUGGUUCAAUAGUGAAAGACGGUUUUGCUGUCACUUAUAGAUGGAUCCGCGCCGCAUUAGCUAGUUGGUAAGGUAACGGCUUACCAAGGCAACGAUGCGUAGCCGACCUGAGAGGGUGAUCGGCCACACUGGAACUGAGACACGGUCCAGACUCCUACGGGAGGCAGCAGUAGGGAAUCUUCCGCAAUGGGCGAAAGCUUGACGGAGCAACGCCGCGUGAGUGAUGAAGGUCUUCGGAUCGUAAAACUCUGUUAUUAGGGAAGAACAAAUGUGUAAGUAACUAUGCACGUCUUGACGGUACCUAAUCAGAAAGCCACGGCUAACUACGUG
rnacentral:rRNA from 1 species